CAGUCUCCCCAUUGAGCGCGCGACCGCCGCUUCUUCCUGGCGAGCGAACAAACGGCGAGGGCACGCGCGACGAAGAGGAACCGUCACGUAAGAUGGUGACUGACAGCCUGAUCCUGCCUCUGAGACCUGUCCUCUGUUUGCAAUGUGACAAGACCCAGCUGCAAGGAAUUCUCCAUCUCAUAAGCCAAAACCUGCUAUUCAAUAAGGCCAGCUGCAAUCUGCUCCAUUUUAUGACCAUGCCCACUGCAUGCCUUAAAGGGAGACUUGGUAAACAUACAGAGGAAUGGCAUCUCUGCCCUUGCAGUGUUAGCCAAGUGGAGGGUAUCAUCCAUUACAUCUUCUAUUGACCUAUCAAUGAGGAAAUUAAGAGGAAAAUACUGAUGAUAAACAAACUUUGGGGACUCAAGUUCUAUGAUCACCUCUCCUUCUGGAUCACAGUGCAGAUUCAAGCCAGAGAAACGAACAAAUAUGGACUGUGGAGGAAGAGGAGGCCCUCAGAGAAGCCCCUCCUGAUGAUGUCCUUCCCAAUGACCCUUAUACAGGCAAACCCAAAAUACCAAUAAAUGUAUGAAGAGAGGGGAUUGGGGAUGAUUCCAAAAUGUGUAAGCCCAUCUCACAUAACUGACAUCCCAUUUGCAAAGCAACUUUCAGUGUUCUGAACUCAGCUUGAUUAAGCUCUGCAAAGAAGCAUAUUGUCAGAUGUAAAAUAUGGUUGCAGUGAAAAGCAUUUCUGAUGUUCUCAAAGACCCACCAAUUUGAUCAACUUUUCCCAUUAGCAGCAACCCCUGAGAUGAGGAAAAGCAUCAUUCACUGAAAAUCAAAAAUAAAAAGCACGUACAGAAUUUUUCUGUUGCCAAAAAUAAUUUAAUAAAGUCAAACUCAGUUGGACAAUUGACAGCAUUUCUUUUUCCUCUACUUACUUUCACAAAGGAUCUUAAGUGGAAAUAUAAAAGAUAGAGGGGGAAAACAUCUAAAGUGUUACCAAGAACAGAGUGUUUCAUAGCACCCCAAGAAGAGUUCGUUACUGACAGCCUUUAAUUUAUUUUUUAUUCAUUCAUUCAACUUAUAUGACCGCCCAUCUCAAAUACAUGACUCUGGGCAGCUAACUUGGCUCUUUGCAAGGGAAAUUCUGUAAACGUUUUUAUUGUGUUUGCUGAGAUGAACAAUUUAUAUUAAAGCUUACAGCUACCCAGGCUAACGGCAAACAAACAUUCCCAAUGUAGUAGAAGUCGUUUGAACAUACAUGAGUUGCAUUCCAUGCACAUAUUUCAAACAAAGACAAUCUGCAUUAAAACCAAUUCUACCAUACCCUGGAACAGACUUUGGCAAACCUGGAACCUUCCAUAUGUAUUGAACUACAGCUCACAUAACUUUUAGCUGUGCUGGCUGAAGACAAUGAGAGCCAUAGUCUAACAUUUCAAGGAUGCCGGCUGCUUCAGAGUAUUGGCCCAUCUUCACCUCCAGCCAGCCAAGAAAUCCAUAUAGACUAGGUCUCACGUUUUGAUUCAAGGAUGCGAUUAUAAAGUUUCCUGUUCUCUCAUGGCGAUAAUAUGCAGGAAGGGGGGUCUCUCUAGCUCCCUCCCAUCAAGCUAACCAGAAGUGAGAAAAAUUAUUUGUGUCCCAAAAUCUGGAAAAGCUUCUUUAUCUAGGGAAGGGCUAGAAUUCAGAACAUGUUGCUUUCAUGAUGAAAUCAAACCAUUUAAGCAUUAUUUUUAAGAAAGUACUUUAGUGUUAAAAACAAAAGUCAAAGGUUGAAGGCAUCAUUCUUCAAGGUAAGCCACAGAAGAAUUGAUGGCACAACUUAAUGGAAAGGAGCAAGAAAGGAAAAAUAAAGGAAAAUUUGCAUUCUGCUCCUGAGGUUGAUUUCUAAUUUAAAAAUGAAGAAGAAAAGUCCCUCUUCCCAAUAUGUUGGGAAAGGAUUUUUUUUUUAAAAAGCCCAUAAAUUAGGCUAUUGUAUAUAGAAGAACAGUGGAAUAGAGCAGCACUACAGGAAGAGAAUACACAAACAGCAAAGCAACACAAUUAAGAGACUCUUAAGUUAUCAAGAAUGUUUCAUUUAACAGCAGCCACAACAUGAUUUUAAAAAUCUACCUAAACACAUACAUUUUAAAAAGAAACUAAUCAUUAAGUACAUAUAAAGAUGUUUUUGAAAAACAAAAACAAGAAUUUCUUCCCCUCAAAUUCACAGUUAACUUAGUGUUCUUUCUAUCUCAACCUCAAUAGCAACAAAAUAAUUCAGGGUCAAGGUGACAUCCAACUCAGCAGGUAAAAAGUAGUUUUCAAAAUUGGGUUGAGGAUCCCAGCAUCCUAAAGAAACUCAUUUUGUACUUUUAACCCAAUGAAUGGUUCUCAAGGGCUGGAUUUGCACAACAAACUUUACUUCAUUUUUAAAUGAACCAAUUUUCCGAGUUCCCACAAUAUACUGAACCAUGAACUAAAAGGGCUAUGUUUGCACAACACAUUGACCCACAAAAAUGAAGCUUCAGCUACAUGCAUGCAAUAGCACAAUGCACUUUCAGAAAAGGAUGACACUGUGAUGCUUUCAUCAUCCACAGACAUGUUUGAAUCUGGAUAAGUAUGUUGUGUGAAGCCAACUCCUAAGGCAGUGUUGUCCAAACUUGGCCACUUUAAGAUGAGUGGACUUCAACU